rnacentral:rRNA from 1 species
AGUGAACGCUGGCGGUAGGCUUAACACAUGCAAGUCGAACGGCAGCACAGUAAGAGGUUGCUCUUACGGGUGGCGAGUGGCGGACGGGUGAGGAAGACAUCGGAAUCUACUUUUUCGUGGGGGACAACGUAGGGAAACUUACGCCAAUACCGCAUACGACCUACGGGUGAAAGCAGGGGAUCUUCGGACCUUGCGCGAGUGAAUGAGCCGAUGUCGGAUUAGCUAGGUGGCGGGGGAAAGGCCCACCAAGGCGACGAUCCGUAGCUGGUCUGAGAGGAUGAUCAGCCACACUGGAACUGAGACACGGUCCAGGCUCCUACGGGAGGCAGCAGUGGGGAAUAUUGGACAAUGGGCGCAAGCCUGAUCCAGCCAUACCGCGUGGGUGAAGAAGGCCUUCGGGUUGUAAAGCCCUUUUGUUGGGAAAGAAAAGCAGCAGGUUAAUACCCCGCUGUUAUGACGGUACCCAAAGAAUAAGCACCGGCUAACUUCGUG